CUGUCAAUGAAUCCUCGUCAGUCAUUAUAGUUAUCCUUACAGUAAAAGGGAGCGAUUCAAUCAGAGAUGAGCAACAGUGUGUGUGUGUGUGUGUGUGUGUGUGUGUGUGUGUGUGUGUGUGUGUGUGUGUGUCAACGCACGCGCACGCUCUGCACCGUCCAUAUUGCGCGCGCGCGCGUGGGUAAAUAGGCACUGAGGAGAACAGGGUCCGUCCUUUAACGGUAAAAACCCGAGCGGGGUUAACAACGGAAGAAGGAGACAGAAGUGGGAUGGAGUGAUGCUGACCAGCAAGAGGACCCGGAGAGAAACAACGGGACCGCGGUGACCACAGAGAAGCAGAAAGACCGACAUGUAUUUGCUGCUCCCCCUCCAUCCCUCCAAAGCACAGUAGCCAGAUGGAAGCUGUUGAUCUACUUAGUCAGAGGUGGAUGUAGAGACCAUUACCCAGACCAAAGCAAACAGUCACAGUCUGCACUCCACAGUUUGCUGCUCACUGAGCUAGACGAUGGUUGGCCUGAGAAACCGGUCCACGUGGGCCCCGCUUCUCCUCAAGGCCUCCUGCAUCAAGUCCUGUGCCAACGGCUGCUCCCUGGGCAUCACCGCACAUCUCACCUACGCCAACACAGACAUCGAACCUGUGGAGGGUGAGGUCACACACUGAUGUCAUGGGGGGAGGGGGGAUUUUGGGCCUUAGCAAUCGGUUAGUCACAUAUCAAGCCACAACAUCUCAAGCCAGAUCUAGUCUUGGUCUUGUCUUUCNNNNNNNNNNAUUAAAAUUUAA
rnacentral:lncRNA from 13 species